rnacentral:snRNA from 1 species
GUAUUUACCUGGAAGGGAAGAUACUGUGAUUAAGAAGGUGUUCACCCAGGACGAAGCUCAGCCAUCACGCUCCGGCUGUGCUGACCCCUGCGAAUUCCCCAAAUGAACGGAAUCUCGACUGGAUAAUUUUCUGCUAGUAGAGGCUGCGUUCGCUCUCUCCCCUG